UUUAUUGAGAGUUUGAUCCUGGCUCAGGACGAACGCUGGCGGCGUGCUUAACACAUGCAAGUCGAGCGAUGAAGUCCCUUCGGGGACGGAUUAGCGGCGGACGGGUGAGUAACACGUGGGUAACCUGCCUCAUAGAGGGGAAUAGCCUUUCGAAAGGAAGAUUAAUACCGCAUAAGAUUGUAGUUUCGCAUGAAACAGCAAUUAAAGGAGUA
rfam:Clostridium chromiireducens strain DSM 23318 CLCHR_contig000017, whole genome shotgun sequence.